GCGGGGCCGCGCUGCCUGCAUGACCCUCCGGCGGCGCGGGGAGAAGGCGACCAUCAGCAUCCAGGAGCAUAUGGCCAUCGACGUGUGCCCCGGCCCCAUCCGGCCCAUCAAGCAGAUCUCCGACUACUUCCCCCGCUUCCCGCGGGGCCUGCCGCCGGACGCCGGGCCCCGCGCCCCUGCACCCCCGGACGCCCCCGCGCGCCCGGCCGCGGCCAGCGCGGGCCGCCGCAGCCCCUCCGACGGCGCCCGCGACGACGACGAGGAUGUCGACCAGCUGUUUGGAGCCUACGGCGCCAGCCCCGGCCCCGGCCCCGGCCCCGGCCGCAGCACGGCGCGACCGCCUGCCAAGCUGCCCGAGGACGAGCCGGACGCCGACGGCUACGAGUCCGACGACUGCACCGCCCUGGGCACGCUGGACUUCAGCCUGCUCUACGACCAGGAGAACAACGCUCUCCACUGCACCAUCAGCAAGGCCAAGGGCCUGAAGCCGAUGGACCACAAUGGGCUGGCAGACCCCUAUGUCAAGCUGCACCUGCUGCCAGGAGCCAGUAAGGCAAAUAAGCUCAGAACGAAAACUCUCCGAAACACUCUGAACCCUACGUGGAACGAGACCCUCACCUACUACGGGAUCACAGACGAAGACAUGAUCCGAAAGACCCUGCGGAUCUCGGUGUGUGAUGAGGACAAAUUCCGCCACAACGAGUUCAUCGGGGAGACGCGGGUGCCCCUCAAGAAGCUGAAGCCCAACCACACCAAGACGUUCAGCAUCUGCCUGGAGAAGCAGCUGCCGGUGGACAAGACAGAAGACAAGUCCCUGGAGGAGCGGGGCCGCAUCCUCAUCUCCCUCAAGUACAGUUCGCAGAAGCAGGGCCUGCUGGUCGGCAUCGUGCGCUGCGCACACCUGGCUGCCAUGGACGCCAACGGCUACUCGGACCCCUACGUGAAAACAUACCUGAAGCCAGAUGUGGACAAGAAAUCCAAACAUAAGACAGCAGUAAAGAAGAAAACCCUAAACCCAGAGUUCAACGAGGAAUUCUGUUAUGAGAUUAAGCACGGGGACCUGGCCAAGAAGACCCUGGAGAUCACCGUUUGGGAUUAUGACAUUGGAAAAUCCAACGAUUUCAUCGGCGGUGUGGUUCUGGGCAUCAAUGCCAAGGGCGAGCGCCUGAAGCACUGGUUUGAUUGCCUGAAGAACAAGGACAAGCGGAUUGAGCGCUGGCACACGCUCACCAACGAGCUCCCGGGGGCCGUGCUCAGCGACUGACCCACCCCACCUGCCUGCUGCACCCACCCCUGCCCGGCCCAGCACAGGCCUGGCCCUCCUCAGCUGCCACUAAGGGCCUCGCCCCCAUGUUUGGGGAGAUCCAGGACGCCUGCUUGGACACAGAGCCACUGCAGCCCCCGCUUAGAGGCCAUGGAAGGCCCAGCCCCUCCGAGGGACAGCGGGGGGCAGAGAGCUGGGCCUGCUUUCAGCCCCCUGGAGCCUGAGAGGGCCAGAGGUGUAAGAAGAGGACCCUGGCCUCAGCACCCACCCGGAGGAAGCAGAUGGGGCAGUCCAGAAGACAAGGACCCUACUAGAGAAUUGUUACGGCUAUUCCAAGUCCCUUGAGAUUCCAUAUGGAUUUUAGAAUGGGCUUUUCUACUUAUACAAAAAAAAAAAAAAGACACUGGACUAUUAACAGGGAUUGGAUUGCAUCUGGAAAUCACCUUGGAUAAUACUGACACUAUAACAUGAAGUCUUCCAAUCCAUGAAAAGGAGAUGUCUUCCAUUUAUUUGUCUUCAAUUUCUUUCAGCAAUAUUUAUAGGUUUCAGUGUACAAGUCUUUCACACUUUUUUUUUUUUGUCUGCGUUGGGUCUUUGUUGCUGUGCACAGGCUUUCUCUAGUUGCGGCGAGCGGGGGCUACUCUUGGGGGCUACUCUUUGUUGCGGAGCACAGGCUCUAGGCACGUGAGCUUCAGUAAUUGCAGCAUGCGGGCUCAGUAGUUGCGGCACGCUGGCUCUAGGGCUCAAGGGCUCUAGAGCUCAGGCUCAGUAGUUGUGGCUCAUGGGCUUAGUUGCUCUGCGGCAUGUGGGAGGCUUCCCAGACCAGGGAUUGAACCCAUGUCCCCUGCAUUGGCAGGCAGAUUCUUAACCACUGGCCACCAGGAAAGUCCCUCACACUCUUCUUAAACUUAUUCCUAAGUACUUGAUUCUCUUUUAUGCAAUUGUAAGUGGAACUGUCUUCUUAAUUUCCUUGUCAGAUUGUUCAUUGCUACUUUAUAGGAAUGCAACUUAUUUUUUUAUGUUGAUUUUGUAACAUGCGGCUUUGCUGAAUUGGUUUAUUAGCUCUCACAAAUUUUUGUGGACUUUUUAGAGCUUUCCAAUAUAAGAUCAUGUCAUCUGCCAUUGUAAAUCAACUUUUUAUACUCCAAUAAAAAAUUUUUUUAAAAGAUCAUGUCAUCUGUACACAGAGAUAAUUUUAUUUCUCCUUUCCAAAUUAGAUGCCUUUUAUUUCAUUUUUCUUGACUAACUGCUCUGGCUAAAACAUCCAGUACACUGGUCUUCCAGUGUUGAACAGAAAUGGCAAAAAAACAGGGACUUCCCUGGUGGUCCAGUGGUUAAGACUCUGCCUUCCAAUGCAGGGGGUGUGGGUUCAAUCCCUGGUCUGGGAACUAAGAUUCCCACAUGCCGCAUGGCUUAAAAAAAAAAAAAAAAAAAAAAAGAAAGAAAGAAAGAAAUGGCAAAAAAGGGCAUCCUUGUCUUGUUCCUGACCUCAGGGGAAAAGUUUUUAGUCUUUCACCUUUGCUUAUGAUACUAGAUGUGGGUUUUUCAUAUGUGCUCUUAUUAUGUUGUAAUUUCUUUCCAUUCCUAUUUUACUGAAUUUUUUCUUUUUUAUCAUUAAAGAGCGUUAAAUGUUGUCAACUGCUUUGUCUACAUCAACCGAAGGUAUUUUUUCUUCAUCCUGUGAGUGUGGCGUAUUAUACUGAUUGAUUUUCUUUGUGUGAUUUUUUAAAUAGAAGUAUAGUUGAUGUACAAUAUUAUAUAUUUUACAAGUGUACAAUACUGUGAUUCACAAAUCUUAAAGGUUAUGCUCCAUUUAUAGUUAUAAAAUAUUGGCUAUAUUCCCUGUGUUGUAUGAUAUAUCCUUAUAAGUUAUUUUAUACAUAAUGGUUUGUACCUCUUAAUCCCCUGCCCCUAUAUUGCCUUUCCUGCCUUCCCUCUCCCCACUGGUAACCACUAAUUUGUUCUCUGUAUCUGUGAGUCUGUUUCUUUUUUUUUUUUUAAUAUUUUUAAAAUUUACUUAUUUUUGGCUGCAUUGGGUCGUCAUUGUUGUGUGUGGGCUUUCUCUAGUUGCAGCAAGUGGGGGCUACUCUUCGUCACAGCGUGCAGGCUUCUCAUUGCAGUGGGUUCUCUUGUUGUGGAGCACGGGCUCUAGAUACACAGACUUCAGUAGUUGAGGCUCACAGGCUCUAGAGUGCAGACUCUGUAGUUGUGGCUCAUGGGUUUAGUUGCUCGGCAGCAUGUGGGAUCUUCCCAGACUGGGGCUCAAACCCAUGUCCCCUGCAUUGACAGGUGGAUUCUUAACUACUGCGCCACCAAGGAAGCCCUGUGUUUCUUUUUUGUUAUAUUCACUAGUUUGUUGUAUUUUUUAGAUUCCACAGAUAAGUGGUAUCAUACAAUAUUUGUCUUUCUCUAUCUGACUUAUUUCAUUUGGCAUAAUACCCUCCAAGUCCAUCCAUGUUGUUGCAAGUGGCAAAAUUAUAUUCUUUACUAUGGCUUAGUAUUCCAUUGCGUGUGUGCAUGUGUGUGUGUGUGUACCACAUCUUCUUUAUCCAUCAUCUGCUGAUGGACGUUUAGGUUACUUCCAUAUCUUGGCAACUGUAAAUAAUACUCCUAUGAACAUAAGGGUUUCAAAUUAGUGUUUUUGCUUCUUUCAGAUAUAUACCCAGGAGUAGAAUUGCUGGAUAAUACGGUAAUUCUAUUUUUAGUUUUUUGAGAAACCUCCAUACCAUUUUCCACAGUGGCUGCACCAAUUUACAUUUCCAACCACAGUUUAAGAGGGUUCCCUUUUCUCAACAUCAUCUCCAACACUUGUGUUCCUUUGACGAUAGCCAUUCUGACAGAUGUAAGGUGAUGUCUCAUUGUGGUUUAGACUUGCAUUUCCCUGAUGAUUAGCACGUUGAGCAUCUUUUCAUGUGCCUGUUGGCCAUGUACAUACCCUCUUUGGAAAAACACUGAUUCAGGUCUUCUGACCAUUUUUUAAUUGGGUUAUUUGGGGUUUUGUAUGUAACUGAUUUUCAUGUGUUGAGCCACCUCUGUAUUCCAGGAAAAAACCUAACUUGUCAUGGUGUAUAAUCCUUUUAAUGUGAGGCUCAAAUCAGUAUGCUAGUAUUUCCCUAAGGAUUAUUACAUCAAUAUUCAUAAGAAAUAUUGAUCUGUAGUUUUUAGUUUCUUUGUCUGGAUUUGGUACCAGACUAACACUGUCCUCAUAGGAUGAAUUAGGAAGUAUUCCCUCCCCUUCAAUUUUAUGGAAGAGUUUGAGAAAGACUGGUGUUAAUUCUUCUUUAAAUCUUUGGUAAAAUACACCAGUGAAACAAUGUGGUCCUGGGCUUUUGUUGUGUUGUUGUUAGGAAAUUUUUAAUUACUGAUUCAACUUCCUUACAAGUUGUAAGUCUAUUCAGAUUUUCUAUUUCUUCAUGAAUCAGCCUUGGUAGGUUGUAUGUUUCUAGGAAUUUGUCCAUUUCAUCUAGAUUAUCCAAGUUGAUGGUGUACAGUUGUCCACAGUACCCUCAUAGUCCUUUUUAUUUCUGUAAAAUUGGUAAUGUCCUCCUUCAUUUCUGAUUUUAGUUAUUAGUCUUCUUUUUCUUAGUCAAUGUAGGUAAAGAUUUGUCAAUUUUUUUAUCUUUUCGAAGAAGCAAUUCAUGAUGUCAUCUUUUUAUUUUAACGUAUGCAUUUACAGCUAUAAAUUCCCUUCAUAGCACUGCAGUUCCUUCAUUUCUUACAUUUUGGUAUGUUGUCUUUUCAUUUUCAUUCAUCUCAAGGUGUAUUCUAUUUUCCCUUGUGAUCUCUUCUUUGACCGACUGUUUGCAUAAUAGAGUGUUGAAAUCCACAUGCUUGUGAAAUUUCCAGUUUUCCUUCUGUUACUGAUUUCUAGUUUCAUUCCAUUGUGCUUAAAGGUUAUUGGUAUGAUUGCAAUCUUGUUAAAUUUCUUAAGGUUCUGCUACCUAAUAUAUGGUCUAUCCUAUAAAGUUCCAUAUGUACUUUAGAAGAAUGUGUAUUCUCCUGUGGUUGGUUGGUUAGGUCUAAUUGGUUUAUAGUGUUGUUCCAAUUCUCUAUUUCCUUAUUGAUCUUCUGUCUGGUUGUACUAUCUAUUACUGAAAGGGGGUAUUGAAGUCUCCAUCUAUUACUGCAGAACUGUCUAUUUGCCAUCAAUUCUGUCAAUUUUUACUUCAUAUAUUUUGGGGCUCAUCUGUUAGGUGCAUGUGUUUAUAAAUGUUAUAUCUUCUAGUUAUAUUGAAACUUUUAUCAACAUAUAACGUCCUUUGUCUCUUGUAACCUUUUUCUAUUUAAAUUCUAUUUAUUCUGAUAAUAAUGUAGCCAUCCCAAUUCUCUUAUGGUUACUAUCUGCAGGGAAUAUCUUUUUCCAUCCUUUUAUUUUAUUUUCAUUCUCUUUUGUGUCCUUAUAUCUAAAGUGUCUUCUAUAGAUGGCACAUAUAUGGGUCCUAUUGGAUUUUUUAAUCCAAUCUGUCAAUCUCUGCCUUUUAAUAGAAGAGUUAAAUCCACUUACAUUUAUGGGAAUUCCCUGGCAGUCCAGUGGUUAGAACUCUGCGCUUUCACUGCAGAGGGCCUGGGUUCAAUCCCUAGUCAGGGAACUAAGAUCCCUCAAGCUGUGCGGUGUAGCAAAAAAAAAAGAAAAAAAAAAAAUCCGCAUAUAUUUAAUGUGAUUAUUGACAUAGGAUUUACUUCUGCUAUUUGUUUUCUAUAUAUCUUAUAUGGUUUUCAUUCCUCAAUUUCACCAUUACUGCUUUUUCAAAUAUAUAUGUAAUCUUUUGUAGUGUACCAUUUUGAUUCCCUUCUUUCCUUUCCUAUAUAUUUUUAAGUUAUUUUCAUAGUGGUUACCUUGAGGGUUACUAACAACCUACUUUGAAUACCAGCUUAGUUUCAGAAAUACACAUUUUAAUCAAAAACCUCUGUCCCUCCCCUUUAUAAUGUUUUUGGUACAGAUGACAUCUCUGUACAUUGAAUGCCUAUUUGCAUAUAUUCAUAAUUAUUGUUUUAUCUUUUUGCCUAUUAAAUCAUAUAAAAGGAAAAGAAGUUACAAACCAUAUCUAAAGUACAACAGUACUAACUUUUAUAUUUACCUAAUAGUUACCUUUUCC